GUAGCUUAUGUGUUUGAGUCUAAAGAAGAUGCUGGUCAAGCGGAUGGCAGUUAAGUAACUUUUAAGUUACUUAAGCCUAACAAUCGGACAUCGAAUACCGUGCUAGAUAAUCCAUCAUGCCCACAACGCCAUGCCAAGAAGUCUGUGAAGCCAUAUAGUUGGUGAAGAGAACAGAGGCAAUUGGAGUGAAAGGACCAAUGACAAGAGAUGGAAUGAUUCAAGAAUAUUCAUCUGUCUUUACAGGGCUUGGUGAGUUUCCUGGUGUUCAUCACAUACAUGUUGAUCCAAAUAUAACUCCAAUAGUACAGGGAUGUAGGAAAAUUCCUCUAGCCAUAAUGGACAGAUUAAAAUCGACUUUACAUUAGGAGUGAGAAAACAAGAUGCUAAUGAGGACAACGAAGACCUGUUUCAGGAGAAAGUAGUGUAUUUGCUAGAAGCUACUGAUUCUCUGAGUCCAGAAAUGUUGAAACAACUAAAAGAAAUGAGUCAAACAGAUGACAUCCUGCAAGCUAUAAAAGAAGCUCAUAAAAGUGACUGGGGUAAGCAAUGCAGCAGGUUUAAGGAUAAAUUGCACAAAUUCUGGUCAGUGCGACACAACAUCAGUAUGCAGAAUGAUGUGCUAAUGAUGGGAGAUAGAAUCAUGAUUCCAGAGAAAUUAAAGUCUACUGUGUUACAGAGGUUACAUACUGGACAUCAAGGUAUACAACGAACUAAAGCACAAGCAAGGCAAGUUGUGUUUUGGCCUGGCAUGUCAAAAGAUAUUGAGAGCUUGGUAAGCAAAUGUGGCAUAUGUCAAAAGUUCCAACCUCAAAAUCAAAGAGAACCUCUUCAGUCACAUGACAUCCCAGAUGUUCCCUGGUUGAAGCUUGGAGCAGACAUCUUUGAAUUGUAAGGUCAGUCUUUCCUGGUGUUAGUUGACUAUAUGACAAAAUACCCAGAAGUGCUAAAUUUGAGAGACAAAUCUGCCCAUUCAGUCAUACAAGUUAUGAAAGCAACAUUUGCAAGAUACGGCAUACCAAAAGAAAUUGUGAGUGACCAUGUACCAUUUGCAAGUCAAGAAAUGAGAAAAUUUGCUGAUAUGUGGGGAAUAAGGCUUUUGUUUUCCAGUCCAGGAUAUCCACAAUCAAAUGGACUUGCUGAGCGAACAGUGCAAACUGUGAAACAUGUUCUGAAAAAGGCCCUGCAUUCAGGACUAUAUCAUGUUCUACCAAGAUGUUGCAACAAAGAUCUUUUGUGCAGGAGCACAGUAGACUGGUAGAUCUACAAGUUCGUCAGAAGAAGUACUAUGAUGUCAGAUCUAGAAGUUUGCCAGGGCUAGUAGCAGGUGAGACUGUACAUAUGCAAACUCGAGAAGGAUGGAAACCAGCAACAGUACUAUGUAAGAGAGAGGAACCAUGGUCGUAUAAUGUACAGUCGCCAAAUGGUCAGAUCUUUAGACGAAAUAGACGUCAUUUGAGAAAGAUACAUCCAGAGGUAUUCAGAGCUGUUGAGUUAAAUCCAAGCAGUGAUAAUGAUUUAUUUGAUACAGUGGCACCAGACCGGUCUGAUCCAGUGACCACUAAUUCAAUGCCAAAGACACCUGUAUCUGAGGAAAAUCUUGAACAAGCAACUUCGCCGUGUGUCAAUGAGGAAUCAACAAUUCGCACAAGAAGUGGAAGAACUGUCAGACCUCCAGUAAGAUUUAAAGACUAUACUACAUAGUGACUGACAUUAACUGACGAUAUAUGCAUUUUAAACUCGUCUGAUUAUGACUGUCAUCCUGUGGAAGGACUAUUCUUUAUGCUGUUCUGAUUGUAUUUAUGACAGUGUUUGUGAUGGGAUAUCGUGAUUCAUGAUUGUGGUUAUUAAUGCUUGUUGAUGAGGUGAUGUAAUUGUCUUUCUAAUUUAAGAAAUGAGGAUGUAAUAUGAUGUUGUGUGUAAUGAGUUUCAGGUGUGUAUGAUCACAUGGUCCUCUUAAAAGAGGUGUGGUUUGAGAAUAAA